GCGCAGCAGGCGAGAAAACUUCACACCGUGCGAAAGCACGAUGAGGGAAUCCCAAGUGCUUGCACGUAAGUGUAAGCUGUUUCUCUGUCUAAAACGCAGAGAGAGUAAGGGCUGGGUAAGACGGGUGCCAGCCGCCGCGGUAAUACCUGCAGCUCAAGUGGUGACCGUUAUUAUUGGGCCUAAAACGGUCCGUAGCCGGUUUAAUAAAUGCCUGGGUAAAUUGUGUAGCUUAACUAUACGAAUUCCGGGUAGACUGUUAAACUUGAGACCGGGAGAAGUUAGAGGUACUCCUGGGGUAGAGGUGAAAUUCUGUAAUCCUAGGGGGACCACCAGUGGCGAAGGCGUCUAACUAGAACGGGUCUGACGGUGAGGGACGAAGCCCUGGGGCGCAAACGGGGAUUAGAUACCCCGGUAGU
rnacentral:rRNA from 1 species